GCGGAGGAAAAGAAACCAACAGGGAUUGCCUCAGUAACGGCGAGUGAAGCGGCAACAGCUCAAAUUUGAAAUCUGACCCCCUCGGGGCCCGAGUUGUAAUUUGUAGAGGGUGUUUCGGGCGCGGCGCCGGUCUAAGUUCCUUGGAACAGGACGUCAUAGAGGGUGAGAAUCCCGUAUGCGACCGGCGAUCAAGCCCAUGUGAAGCCCCUUCGACGAGUCGAGUUGUUUGGGAAUGCAGCUCAAAAUGGGUGGUAAAUUCCAUCUAAAGCUAAAUAUUGGCCGGAGACCGAUAGCGGACAAGUAGAGUGAUCGAAAGAUGAAAAGCACUUUGGAAAGAGAGUCAAACAGUACGUGAAAUUGUUGAAAGGGAAGCGCUUGCCACCAGACCGGUCCGGGGGUGAUCAGCCGCUGCUCGUCAGCUGGUGCACUCGCCCUCGAUUCCGGCCAGCAUCGGUUUGGGCGGCGGGAGAAAAGCCCCGGGAAUGUAGCUUCUUUCGGGGAGUCUUAUAGCCCGGGGCGCAAUGCCGCCCGCCCGGACCGAGGACCGCGCUUCGGCUAGGAUGCUGGCGUAAUGGUUGCAAGCGACCCGUCUUGAAACACGGACCAAGGAGUCUAACAUCUAUGCGAGUGUUUGGGUGUCAAACCCAGGCGCGGAAUGAAAGUGAACGGAGGUGGGAGCCCGUCGCACGGCGCACCAUCGACCGAUCCAGAUGUCUUCGGAUGGAUUUGAGUAUGAGCAUAGCUGUUGGGACCCGAAAGAUGGUGAACUAUGCCCGGAUAGGGUGAAGCCAGAGGAAACUCUGGUGGAGGCUCGCAGCGGUUCUGACGUGCAAAUCGAUCGUCAAAUCUAGGCAUAGGGGCGAAAGACCA
rnacentral:rRNA from 1 species